ensembl:lncRNA
GCCGGCUCCGCGAGUACGAAUGUUGCAAAUAGGAAAUGGCUCGAUAAAAGUCGCGUACCAAUUUUAAAAGCUGGAUAUGCUGGUUGUAAAACACCGAAGGAGAACACUCCCUUGGCAGCCGGUGAUGGCUGCAGCGAGCAGAAGGCAGUACCUGGCUCGCCUGAGGCACAUGGCAUCACCACGGCUGGGUGAUUUCCGCCAUCACAGGGCCAGAGCUGCUACAUCCUCUACUGCUCCUGACCCCUUGUCUUGACUUCUGAGCUGGCCCUUAAACCUGCCUCACCACAGCAGACUCAUCUGGAAAUCUGGACUUCUGUCUGGCCCGCCUGCUGCCACUGGCUCUGCCCUGCUCUUCUGUUUGGGUGCUGUGAGAGUGUGCCUUUUCCAGCAAGGCCACUGCCCCACUCUCCUGGUCACACUCCGCUCCUGGCCCUUCUGCCCUUUAAGGGCAGCCUGUUCCCCACUGCUUCCUGACAGCAUAACUGUGUUCACCUGUAAGCUUAUUGCUUGGGGCUUUUUAAAAUUAUUGGUUUUUUAUUUGAUAAAUGUUGUAUAUGCUUUCAAAAUCGAAAAAAAACUCCGAUGUUUUGGGUUUUUUUUUGAAAUUGUUUUUGUGUGUUGUCAACAACAUAUGCAGACGUAAAUAGCAGUCUUCUGAAUUUUAUUAAACCUUUGCAUAUCUGAUCAAGAAAAAGUACCAAAAUGACUAAGCUAGUUUGGUGAGAUAAUCCAUAUUACUGCCUUCUUUUCCAUGAUGCAGGAUUAUGAAUGACUUUCCAACAUCUUUUGUAUUUACUUUCCAUGCUGUAGAAGAUAGUAUGACAUAGACAUGCAUGACAUCAUUGCUACUGAUCUAAAAGAAUGUACUUGCAACAAAAAUUAAAAAUCAGCCACCUGAAGCCAACAGAAUUAUAACCAUGUUCUCCUACUGUGCCAGUAGAAAAGCACUUUUCAGGAUUACACCUUACAAAUGAUGAAAGAAAGCUGAAAGGUAAAAUUUAACAACCAGUUGCUAGAUUUUCAAAAUUUUAAAACAGA